rnacentral:misc_RNA from 1 species
GCAGAUUAAAAUGGCUCAGGGGGCCAAGCCUGGUGAAGGUGGUGAACUUCCUGGUCACAAGGUGGUUGGUGAAAUUGCGAAAACAAGAAAUUCUACAGCUGGGGUAGGGCUUAUCAGCCCACCUCCUCAUCAUGAUAUCUAUUCUAUUGAAGAUCUUGCUCAGUUAAUCCAUGAUCUCAAGAAUUCAAACCCAGCUGCUCGGAUUAGUGUGAAGUUGGUGUCCGAAGCAGGUGUUGGUGUAAUUGCUAGUGGAGUUGUUAAGGGCCACGCAGAUCAUGUACUAAUUUCAGGUCAUGA